AUUGAACGCUGGCGGCAGGCUUAACACAUGCAAGUCGAGCGGGGGAGAGUAGCUUGCUACUUUACCUAGCGGCGGACGGGUGAGUAAUGCUUAGGAAUCUGCCUAUUAGUGGGGGACAACAUCUCGAAAGGGAUGCUAAUACCGCAUACGUCCUACGGGAGAAAGCAGGGGACCUUCGGGCCUUGCGCUAAUAGAUGAGCCUAAGUCGGAUUAGCUAGUUGGUGGGGUAAAGGCCUACCAAGGCGACGAUCUGUAGCGGGUCUGAGAGGAUGAUCCGCCACACUGGGACUGAGACACGGCCCAGACCCCUACGGGAGGCAGCAGUGGGGAAUAUUGGACAAUGGGGGGAACCCUGAUCCAGCCAUGCCGCGUGUGUGAAGAAGGCCUUUUGGUUGUAAAGCACUUUAAGCGAGGAGGAGGCUACCGAGAUUAAUACUCUUGGAUAGUGGACGUUACUCGCAGAAUAAGCACCGGCUAACUCUGUGCCAGCAGCCGCGGUAAUACAGAGGGUGCAAGCGUUAAUCGGAUUUACUGGGCGUAAAGCGCGCGUAGGUGGCCAAUUAAGUCAAAUGUGAAAUCCCCGAGCUUAACUUGGGAAUUGCAUUCGAUACUGGUUGGCUAGAGUAUGGGAGAGGAUGGUAGAAUUCCAGGUGUAGCGGUGAAAUGCGUAGAGAUCUGGAGGAAUACCGAUGGCGAAGGCAGCCAUCUGGCCUAAUACUGACACUGAGGUGCGAAAGCAUGGGGAGCAAACAGGAUUAGAUACCCUGGUAGUCCAUGCCGUAAACGAUGUCUACUAGCCGUUGGGGCCUUUGAGGCUUUAGUGGCGCAGCUAACGCGAUAAGUAGACCGCCUGGGGAGUACGGUCGCAAGACUAAAACUCAAAUGAAUUGACGGGGGCCCGCACAAGCGGUGGAGCAUGCGGUUUAAUUCGAUGCAACGCGAAGAACCUUACCUGGUCUUGACAUAGUAAGAACUUUCCAGAGAUGGAUUGGUGCCUUCGGGAACUUACAUACAGGUGCUGCAUGGCUGUCGUCAGCUCGUGUCGUGAGAUGUUGGGUUAAGUCCCGCAACGAGCGCAACCCUUUUCCUUAUUUGCCAGC
rnacentral:rRNA from 1 species